AAUAGAUACCCCGGUAGUCCCAGCCGUAAACGAUGAGCACUGGGUUGGGGGCCCACCGACGGGCUCCCAGCCGAAGGGAAACCGUGAAGUGCUCCGCCUGGGGAGUAUGGCCGCAAGGCUGAAACUCAAAGGAAUUGACGGGGGGCUCACACAAGCGGUGGAGCAUGUGGCUUAAUUCGAGGCUACGCGAAAAACCUUAUCCCGGGCUUGACACGCGAGGAUUAGUCGGCGGAAACGUCGGCGACGCCGCAAGGUGGAACUCGCGCAGGUGCUGCAUGGCUGUCGUCAGCUCGUGCCGUGAGGUGUUGGGUUAAGUCCCGUAACGAGCGAAACCCCUGCGACCAGUUGCCAGCGCGUCAUGGCGGGGACUCUGGUCGGACCGCCGGCGUCAAGCCGGAGGAAGGCGGGGACGACGUCAAGGUCAUCAUGGCCCUUAUGCCCGGGGCCGCACACGUGCUACAAUGGGGCGGACAAAGCGUCGCCAGGCCGCGAGGCCAAGCCAAUCGCAAAAACCGCCCCUCAGUUCGGAUUGCGGGCUGCAACCCGCCCGCA
rnacentral:rRNA from 1 species